rnacentral:rRNA from 1 species
GGGCGAGCGUUGUCCGGAUUUAUUGGGCGUAAAGAGCUCGUAGGCGGUUUGGCAAGUCGGGUGUGAAAACUCCGGGCUCAACUCGGAGACGCCACUCGAUACUGCCAUGACUCGAGUCCGGUAGGGGAGUGCGGAAUUCCUGGUGUAGCGGUGAAAUGCGCAGAUAUCAGGAGGAACACCGGUGGCGAAGGCGGCACUCUGGGCCGGUACUGACGCUGAGGAGCGAAAGCGUGGGGAGCGAACAGGAUUAGAUACCCUGGUAGUCCACGCCGUAAACGUUGGGCACUAGGUGUGGGGCUCGAUCGACGGGCUCCGUGCCGUAGCUAACGCAUUAAGUGCCCCGCCUGGGAAGUACGGCCGCAAGGCUA